UUAAAAAAAUUGGAGAAAAUGCAUAAUGUUUAUAAGGAACUGGCCAAGAUAAACACUUGUGUGAAUGCUAUGGUAAAACAGGAUUUUAGUUAACCUUAAGUAUUGUUGACAUAAAAUCCAAAUUUUAUCAUAAGAUACGGGGAGGGUGUGGGGGAAGGCCCCAGCAGCGCUUCUGUAGUGGGUAUUUGAGCACCAAUGAGGAGUAAAUGAUUUGAUUCCGUGGGCUCAGAGGAUUUGUCAGCUGCCUCGUAAGUAUAAUUCUGGCUCUUCAUAUCCCUGCUGCUUCUAAUUUAGCAGGACAGGCUCAUAAUUGAAGCAAAUUAACUAUUUACACUUGCCACUUCUACCAGGGGAAGAGGACACAGCAGCAGGAAAGAAUGAGCAGGAAAUUACAUUCUUCCCACUUGUGUCAGACCUGCCCUUAUAUAAACACAUUAACAGUAAUUUCAUGAGGCGUCAAACAUAGGAAUAAAUACUGAGGGAUGAAAUAAUGAGGUGCUGCUAUUGAGCUGAACUGCUAUGGCUAAUAUCCUUGGAUAUGAAUUAUGCAUCCUGAAAGAAGGCAUAUGUUACAAUAUUCAAACAGUUUCCCUGCAAGUGAUAUCUGCUCAUUAGGCUCUGGAUCUCAAGGAGCUGACUUUCCGCGGCUAAAAAGGAACCAAGAAUGCUUUAUAGCUCGUUGGACCGAUCCCUUCUGCUUCAAAGCUGGACGGACUCUUUAAUUUAGUGGGGUUUGACUUUGAUGACCAGAAUCACAGAAUUCAGAAUAAUAGGGAAAUAUAGGAAAUUCACCUGGACCUUCAUAAACAAAGAUGCUGAGGGUUGCUCAAACUCCAAGGAGUCUCAUAUAAAGGGCAUGAUCUUGUUACAUUAUUAUUUUUCUUUCUCUGUAGGUUCCAGUCAAUGAAAGAUAAAUAGCAAAGACCAA